rnacentral:tRNA from 1 species
GUUGUAGCUCAGUUGGUUAGAGCGCUGGAUUGUGGUUCCAGAGGUCGCCGGUUCAAAUCCGGUCAUC